CAUGUUCAUAUCAUUACAUAAAUUAAACUUAACAUUCAAAAAUUCCAAAUGAGAAUGUUCUUUAAACUUUUACAAAACACAUAAGUUUAGAUUUACCAUCAACAUUUCAUUAGACACAAAGUAUACUUAUAUAAUAAAAACAUAUCUACCAAUAAAGAUCUAUCGAAAAUCUGCUAGCUUUCCACUGCCUUUGCCCAAUUUUAACAUUUAAGCGAGCGAUAAGCUAUCCUGAAAAAUUUAUAUAGCAAUAGAGUGAGUAUAUAAAGCUCAAUAAGCGACUAAUAUAUCCAUGGCAAAAGAGAACAGCUUUCAAACAAAUAAUGUAUCAAAAUACAAGGUAAGGAUACAAGAGUUCAUAGAUAGCCACUCAUCGAAUGUAGAAUUAUAAUAUUAUUUCAUUCGAAGCAUGUUUUAUUCAUAACAAGGGAGUAUAAAUUAAUUAGAGCAUAUCAUUGGCAUAAAAAAUAUUUAGGCACGUAACAAAUGAUAUAAGAAACAUUUGGGUGCAUAUCAAAGGUGUGAGGAUGUUUAGGAAUAUAUCAAUGACAUACGAAAUAUUUCAAAGCAUAUCAAGUGAACAAAUAACAAACAUAAGCUUGUAUGUCAUAUUUGAUGUCGCAUGCAUUUUAUUCUUAUACAAAGCACACAUAGAAAUAUAAAACCAAAGCUUUGAAUAUCAUAUCAAAUAUAUAGAAGAUGAAGUGAGAUUCCAAACAUAAUAUGCGACGUUUAGGAGCGUCAUCCAUCCAUGUCUAGAUGAAGCCAGAGGGGGCCGGCAAAGCAUCGCGGGCUCUAAGCGUACACUCUUUACCAUUUCUAGAAAAGGUCUAGAUAAUCUUUUUACCAUUUCUAGCAAAGGUCCAAAUACUCUCACAAAUACCUGAGUACAAAAAGGGUAAUAUUAAUAAUAAGAUUGGCAUAUCUCAGAAGCACAUGCGAAAUAACGAAACAUACAUGUGCCUAUAUGAAAUAAUGUGAUGCAACUAUAAACUUUACAUAAUAGAUUCAGGAAUAUAAAUAAUUUAAAGAUAAGCAUUACAAUAAUUCAAAUUAAUAAUAUAAAGCUUAAUUAAAAAAAAAGAAAUUUUAAUGAAAAAUAAUUUCCAAAGGGAUGAAACAUGAAUAGGCAAAAUCGUUAAAAUUCAAUUCUAGCAUAAUUCGAGAGACAUAUUUCAUGAAUUAUUUGAAUAACUAAUUAUGUUCUAAUUUACUCAAAAUAGCAUACUUUAAAAUAGAUAUCAAUAUAAUUUUAGAUAAAUUAAGUUUUAUAUGAAUUGGAGUUUCCAAUAGGGAGUUACAAGUAAUUUCGUGAUAAAAGAUCAGAAAACUUCAGCUCUGUUUUACUAAAGGUAUAGGGUUGAUAAAAAUAGAUGUUUCAAUUGACAUUUGAGAUCCAAAUAUUUCAAAUUAGGUAUGCACAAAAAUAUUUAUAAGUCUAGUUUCUAAUAAAUUAUGUUUUUUAUAAAUCAGAGUUCUCAACAAAAAGUUAUAAGCUAUUUAGUGUCAAAAGGUCAGAAAUUAUGAUCUCUAUUUUGUAGAAUCUAUAUGAUUAAUUGAAAUAGAAGUUUGAGUAGGAAUUUAAACUCCAAAUAUUUCAGUCUAGAUAUCAAAUGAAAUAUUUUUGGGUCUACUUUCAAAUGAAUUAGGGUUUACCUAAAUCAGAGUUUAAUACUAAGAGUUAAGUCAAACAAUGCAAAGAGGUCAAUUUACCAAAAAAUUUUAGAUUGGUGGUUGUGUACCUAAAUGAGAGAAAUAUCUAAUUCUAAGCUGAAAUCUUUUGAAUUAUUCAGAAUUAAAAUAAAAACAGAGAUUAAUAUUUCUAUAGAAUAGGGUUAGAAUACUUAUCGUUUAAAAAUUUUAAUCCAAAUGAGAAGAUUUGAAAAAAAAAACCCCAAAUCCCCGAAUUUCUCCUCUUCUUUUUUUUUUUUUCUUCUUCUUUCUCUCUUUGUCUCUUUUCCAAUGAAAAUUAUCUUCUUAGGUUCCUUAGGAACAAAAGUAGAAAGGCUUAGGCAGUGGAAGUUGUUUCUUUAUGUAUUUUACACUUUAGUCCUUGUAUUAUUUAUAUUUACGAUUAGGUCCUCUUAUUUUUUUUAAACAUGUCUCCAGAUUUUAUAAAUGGGUUCUCAAAUUUAUAUUUAGGCUCUUCUAUAGAAUUUAAAAUGGAUACUUACAUUAUAAUUAGAAACUUAUAUAAAAAUUUAGAAACGACGGAUGUUACAACAAUGGUUGUUUAAUAAUAUUAGAUGAUAAGAUCAUCACGAGAGAAAUAUUAUAAAAUGGUUUGUUUAUGCUAGACACUGCUCCACAUAUUAUGAAUAUAAGUAUGUCCAAGAGGAAAUAAGAUGAGGUGAACAAUGCAUACAUGUGGCAUUGUAGGCUAGGUAAUAUCCAUGAGGGAAUGAUUCAAAAGUUGCUAAAGGAUAAAUACCUAGAUCCAGACUAUGAGUCAUAUGCAACUUACAAGCUUUGCCUUCGUGAAAAAUUAACUAACUCUCCAUUUAGUAGAACUGGAGAGAGAGCCACUGAGUUGCUAGAACUCAUACAUAGUAAUGUAUAUGAUCGUAUGUUAACUCAGGUCAUAGGUGGUUAUUCCUAGAUCAUUACUUGUACUAACGAUUUCUCCAAGUACAAACACAUGUACUUGAUGAAGUACAAGUCCGAAGCCUUCGAGAAAUUCAGGGAAUAUAAGAAUGGAGUAUAGAACCACACUAAAAAGAGUAUUAAGACUCCAAUCAGAUCAAAGAGGUGAGUACUUAAGUACAGAGUUCACAUAGCUCAUCAAAGACCAUGAGAUUCGAUCCUAAUGGACACCUUCUUAUACACCUCAGCUCAAUGGUGUAUUAAAAGGAGGAAUCGCAUACUGUUAGAUAUGGUACGAUCUAUGAUAAAUUUCAUCAACUUACUAGUUGUUAGGAACGAGUCAGCACUAAGGGGGGAUGGGGGGAGUGUGAAUUAGUGCAGCGGUAAAAUUACGUCAAUUCGAAAAAUUCUUCGUAUGAUAAAAUCGAUCUCGAAAAGAUAUUAAACUUCAAGGCAUUCGUAAAAGUGUAAUGAGCAAGUAAGGAGGUUUGCAAUAAGCUAAAUUGCACAAAAGAAAAGCAAACUAGAUUUUUAUAGUGGUUCGAUCGUCAUGACCUACAUCCACUCCAUCGAUUCCUCUUCCGUCGAGGCCACCGGCAUCCACUAUCGAUCUUUCUUCAAUAGGCGAAGACUAACCACCUUUUACAACUCGAUUCUCCUUUUACCGGGUUUAGGAGAUAACCCUUACACCCCCACUUACUCCUCUCUUAACCUAUUCUAACACUUAGAACUUUGAGAGGAGUUUCAUACACAAUUGCAAUAGAGUUUUCUUUCUUUUUUUCUCUCAGUUGUGUGUUUGUUAACCAGGGAUGAGAGGGGUAUUUAUAGGCCUCAAGUUGAUUCAAACUUAAAGCCUAAAAAUAUCUCAUCUCGAGUUUCAUAGGUACGGGCGGUACCACCGCUUGUGCUGGGCGGUACCAUUGCUAGUGUCAGUCUGACACUGACACUGUGAUACCGGGGAUGGUAAAAAAUGCAGAAUGGAUUUCGAAAGAACACCAAUAGAAUAGUUGUUCAGAUAGAAAAUGUCACAGAAGGCAAGGAACGAACUCUUGAAGAAACUUCGGUAAAACGAAAAAUAGCUCACCACCAAGUUUAAAAUCAAAAGGGAUAUAGAAAUAUCACCACCCUAAUGAUAAUAAACAAGGAUACAGAACUAAAAGCAAAAGACUCACCACUCAAGGACACAUCCGAGAGAUACAGAGUUCAAAAGAGCACUCCAAGAGAGCUUCUGCCAAUAUCCUUAGUUUUCUAAAGUCCUUUCUAAGACCUAAACCCCAAAAUAAAUACUAUUGCAUGAAAAAACCCUUUAUGCAUAGGGAAUUUCGAAAUUAAGUGCUUUACAACUGCCAACCAACUCCAUUAAUGUAUUCCUUAGCCAUGAAGAAAAGCACCAUGAUGCAGCUUUACAAUUGCCAACUAACUCCAUUAAUAUAUUCCUUUGUACAGGGAAUAUCCUGAUGAGCUGUCGUAUCUGAGUAGGCUGAGUUAAAGAUUAUGUGGCAAUAUUAUUGGCUGAAGAAAAAUAUCAUAUUAUCAGCAUGGUCCAUAUGAACAGAUUGUAGCAAAUUAGACACUCCCGUGUCAAUCUCCCCUGGUUGAAAAAGACUUAUCCUCAAGUCCGUGUUUGUUUUGUCAUCAUGAUUAUAAAAAGGACUUAAAUCAGCCACAUUAAAAGUUGGAGAUACUCCGUAAUCUUUAGGUAGCUCAAUCUCAUAAGUAUUUUUACCAAUUUUCUUAAGCACCUUGAAUGGACCAUCAGCCUUUGGUUUCAGUUUUCCAAAUUUGCCCGGUGGAAACCUCUCCUUCCUUAAAUGAAUCCAGACCAAAUCACCUGCAUUAAACUCCACAUGUUUUCUGUGUUUGUUAGCAGCUUUCAUGUACCUCUCAUUUUGUUUCUCAAUGGUUGCUUUCAUACCCUCAUGCAGCUUCCUUAUCUGCUUAGCUCUUUCAUCAGCAUCUCCACUAAAUUGCUUUGUUGUAGAAUGAGGGAUUAAGUCCAAAGGACCAGCAGGAUUAGUACCAUAAACUACCUCAAAAGAACUCUUACCAAUACUAUGAUGCAUAGAAUGAUUAUAGGCAAACUCAAUUUGUGGAAGAAUGACAUCCCACUGCUUAAUAUUCUUGCCAACAUAGCUUCUAAGCAAAUUUCCCAAGCUUCUGUUUGUUACCUCAGUUUGCCCAUCGAUUUGUGGAUGAUGCGAGCUGCUGAAAUUCAAAGAAGUACCCAGCUUCCUCCAAAGAGUUCUCCAAAAAUGACUAACAAAUUUUGAAUCUCUAUCAGACAUCAUAGUUCUUGGAAUACCAUGCAAUCUAACAUCCUCUCAUGGAGCAUUUGGAACUGGCAAUGGAGAUGCAUCAUUUGAUUUAUUGCAUGGAACAAAGUGAGACAUUUUUAAAAAUCUGUCAACAACAACCAUGAUAGAAUCCUUGUUCCUUUGAGUUAUUGGCAGUCCCAAAAUGAAAUCAAGACUCACAUCCUCUCAUGGAGCAUUUGGAACUGGCAAUGGAGUGUAUAAACCAGAAUUUUGACUUCUUAUUUUUGCCAGAUGACACAAUCGGCAUUGCUUCACAUGUCUAUCCACAUCUCUGAACAUUUUAGGCUAGUAGAAAUUUGAUUGAACAAGAGCUAGAGUCUUGUCCCUACCGAAAUGUCCUCCCAAAACACCAUCAUGAGCUUCAGCUAGAAUUACUUGUCUCAAAGAACAAGAUGGAACACACAAAGCAUUAGCUCGAAAAAGAAAACCAUCAAAGAUAAAAAAAAUUGUUGAAAGGAACCUGAUUACAAUUAUGUCAUAUUGAGCUGAAAUCCACAUCGUUCUCAUAUAGAUCUUUGAAUGUUUCAAAUCCAACCACUUUGACUUCCAUUACUGAUAAUAAAGAAUGCUUUCUGCUCAAUGCGUCAGCAACUACAUUUUGAACACCAGAUUUGUGCUUGAUUGUAAAGUUGUAAGAUUGUAAAAACUCCACCCAAGCUGCAUGCCUCUUGUUUAGCUUGUGCUUGUGAUUAAUGAACUUUAAUGCCUCAUGAUCAGAAUAUAGAACAAAUGGCUUGGCAAGAAGGUAUUUACUCCAAUGAGACAAAGCUCGAUAAAUUGCAUAAAACUCCUUAUCAUAAGUAGAGUAUUUCUUUCUCGUAUCAUUCAGCUUUUCACUAAAAAAUGCAAUGGGCUUUCCGUCUUGGCUCAAAACAGCACCAAUUCCCACAUUAGAUGCAUCACAUUCAACUUCAAACACAUUAUCAAAAUUUGGUAGAACUAAUAUAGGAGCUUCAGUCACUUUUCUUUUCAAAAGCUCAAAAGCAUCAUUAGCUUCACUAGUCCAUUUGAAUUUAUCACAUUUUAGACAUUCGGUGACUGGAGUGACAAUAGAGCUGAAACCCUUGAUAAAUCUUCUGUAAAAUGAAGUUAAGCCAUGGAAACUCCUCACAUCAUGCAAUGAAGCAGGUGUUGAACAACUGAGAAUAGCCUCUACCUUACUUUGAUCCAUCAUGAUUCCAUCUUUUGAAACAACAUACCCCAGAAACACCACAUUAGUAGUAAAGAAAUCACACUUCUUUAGAUUAGCAUAAAGUUUUUGAAGCCUCAAAAUAAGAAAGAUCUCUUUCAGAUGAUUCAUAUGCUCCUCUUCACUCUUGUUGUAUACCAAUAUAUCGUCAAAAUAAACUACAACAAAUAUUCCAAUGCAUGGCUUAAGUAUAUGAUUCAUAAAUCUCAUGAAGGUGCUAGGAGAAUUAGAUAGCCCAAAUGGCAUAACCAACCAUUCAUAUAAACCUUCUCUAGUUUUAAAUGUUGUUUUCCACUCAUCUCUGGGCCUCAUUCUUAUUUGGUGAUAGCCACUCCUCAAAUCAAUUUUUGAGAAAAUACAAGCACCACACAAUUGAUCAAGUAAAUCAUCUAACCUUGGAAUAAGAAAGCGAUAGUCCACUGUGAUUUUGUUGAUGGUGCGACUGUCCACGCACAUUCUGCAAGAACCAUCCUUCUUAGGCACUAACAAGGCAGGAACCGCACAAGGACUCAUGCUCUCCCAGAUUAACCCUUUUUUAACCAAUUCAUCAACUUGCCUUUGAAGUUCUUCAUGCUCCUUGGGACUCAUUUUAUAUGCUGCCUUAUUAGGUAGAACAGCCCCCGGAAUAAGAUUAAUGUGAUGCUGGAUAUCUCUCAAGGGUGGAAGGCCAUGUGGAAUCUCUUCCGGUAUAACAUCUUCAAACUCUUCCAACAUUUGUUUCAUGAUUACGGGUGUCUCCUUGUGUUGUUCAUUUUCUUCUACUACUAGUAAAGCCAUAACAUGACCACCUUUGUCUAAUUCACCUUUGUAUUCACCAUACGACAUAAAAGCGUUAACUUUCUUCUUUGGUGCAGUGAUUUCAGAUGGUUGUAAUGGAGCUAAAAUAAUCUUCUUUUCAUUCACCUUAAAAGAAUAAGUAUGUUUGUAGCUGUCAUACAACACCCUUCUAUCAUAAUGCCAAGGUCUUCCCAACAGCAAAUGACAUGCAUCCAUAGGAGCAACAUCACACCAUACUUCAUCUUUAUAAUACUUGCCAAUAGAAAAUGAAACUAAACAUCUUUUAGUUACAUUGAUGUCAUUUCCUUUUUGCAGCCAACAUAACUGGUAUGGAUGUGGAUGAGGGAUGGUAUCCAACUUUAGCUUCUGCACCAUCUCCAAAGAUACCACAUUCUCAAAGCUGCCGCUGUCGAUGAUCACCAAGCACACUUUGCCAAGAGAAGUGCAUUUAGUGUGAAACACAUUUUUUCUCACCCAACUUUCAUCGUCGGCCACAUAUGACACUUGUAAACUAUGUUGCAAUACAAUAGACAAAUGAUGAUCAGCAUAAGUAAUCUCUUCCUCAUCAUCAUCGUAUUUUGGUUCGUCGUCAGCUUCAUCUUCUCCUCCAUCACUAUGAUCUUCAACCAAAGUUACAAUCCUCCUAUUUAGAUAAUCUGAUGCGAUUUGCCCAAAACCAUGACAUUUGAAGCAUUUCCGGCCACUUGGGGUAGAAGAAUUAGGUAUUUUUUUGCUGCCAGCAUAUUCUUCACCCUUUUCUUGCACCUUCGAUAUCACCUUGCUUUGGACAGUAGGCUUGGAUCUUCCUCCUUUUGUAUAUCCUUCUUUUGAGCCAUACCGAAAACUCUUUUCAAACUUUUGUUGCUUUUCAACUUUUAAUGUCAGCUUACUCACAUCAUUUAAAGACCAAUAUGGUUAUAGCUGAACAACUUUAGCAAUCUCAUACUUCAGACCUCCUAAAUAUCUUAUAAUUGUUUGCUCUUCCGGUUCCACAAGUUCUUCUUUUAACAUCAAAUUAUCAAAUUCUGCAGUGUACUCCUCCACACUAAGAUCUUUUUGCUUGAAAUCAUGUAUUUUGAGAAAGAUCUCUUGCCUAUAAUUAUGAGGUAAAUAUUUUCUCUUUAGCUCCCUUUUCAUUUUCUCCCAUGUAACGAUCUUACUCUUCCCCUCACGUUUUCUUUGUUUCUUCAUAUUUUUCCACCAAAAAGAUGCAUUCCGCCUGAGUUUGAGUGCCACAAGUUUGACCUUCUUUUGUUCUGGUGGUUCAUGAAAAUCGAAAAUUCUUUCUACUGUGUUAAGCCAGUCGAUAAAGUCAUCAACAUCUAUUUUACCUUCAAAUUCUGGAAUAUCUAAUCUGGGGUUAUAUUUAUUCUGCCACUCAUCUUGGACUCCAUUUCUUCUCCGACAUCUUCUCGACUCCCUUGGAAGAGGUGUAUCAUCAUCAGAAGUAAACUCUCGAGCUUUAUUUUCAUGUUGGUUAUGUCUACUUUGAAGUUCGUCGAUUAUUUCAUUUUUUUCUUGUAGGCUACGCAGCAAUUUUCGUAGCUGCAGCCUCAACGACUCAGCGUCAUCUUCAUGGUCGCUACCUUCACUAACUACAUCUUUUCUAUUCCGCCUUGCCAUGAUCUCUAGCCUUUAGCUCUGAUGCCAAACUGAUACCGGGGAGGGUAAAAAAUGCAGAAUGGAUUUCGAAAGAACACCAAUAAAAUAGUUGUUCAGAUAGAAAAUGUCACAAAAGGCAAGGAACGAACUCUUGAAGAAACUUCGGUAAAACGAAAAAUAGCUCACCACCAAGUUUAAAAUCAAAAGGGAUACAGAAAGAUCACCACCCUAAUGACAAUAAACAAGGAUACAGAACUGAAAGCAAAAGACUCACCACUCAAGGACACAUCCAAGAGAUACAGAGUUCAAAAGAGCACUCCAAGAGAGCUUCUGCCAAUAUCCUCAGUUUUCUAAAGUCAUUUCUAAGACCUAAACCCCAAAAUAAAUACUAUUACAUGAAACAACCCUUCAUGCAUAGGGAAUUUCGAAAUUAAGUGCUUUACAACUGACAACCAACUCCAUUAAUGUAUUCCUUAGCCAUGAAGAAAAGCACUAUGAUGCAGCUUUACAACUACCAACCAACUCCAUUAAUGUAUUCCUUUUUGCAGGGAAUAUCCUGAUGAGCUGUCGUAUCUGAGUAGGCUGAGUUGAAGAUUAUGUGACAAUAUUAUUGGCUGAAGAAAAAUAUCAUAUUAUCAGCAUGGUCCAUAUGAACAAAUUGUAGCAAAUUAGACACUCCUGUGUCACACUGCAUUGGGUGGUACCACCGCCUAGUUUGGUGGCACCACUACCUACACUAACACUGGGUGGUACCACCACCUAGAGCUCAUGGGAGACUGAGUCCCAAGCGGUGUCACCGCCUUAGUUUGACGGUGCCACUGCCAGACAGGGUCCAGCAUCCUGGUUGGGCCUUGAAUCCGACCCAAACUAGCCUAACUUCUGGCCUAGUUGGCAUCUAAUAGAGUUGAUGGGAUUACCUCCCAAACCACACUCUAAUUAUAUGCUAACUAUGAUUCUUAUGAUAUAUUCUAAGUAAAUCAAGUUCGGUUAGUCUUGGUUUCUUCCAGCGAGCUUCCGACGAACUUCCGAUGAUCUCUCGGGAAUGUUCCAGCGGACUCCCGGCAAGCUCCUAGACUUCACGAUGAUCUUCUUGGAGAGUUCUGACGAGCUUCUUAGGUAAGCUCCUGGACUUCUCAGUUAGUUUCGACAGAACUUCUGACGAACGUCUGGACUUUUGAUGAACUCUCGAACUCCCAACGAAAUCACGUUCUUGACUUUGAGAAUUCAUUUUGCUUUAUGUCUUGCUAUCGUAGUUAAUCCUGCAUAUAUAAAAUAUAAUUCAAUUAUUACUAAGCAUGAACCAUGUUGUUUGGCAUGUCAUUGGUCCAUCGACGCUUCGUUCGAUUCUUCGGCGCAUCGUCCUCUCUUACGGUAUAUUGCCCAAUCGGCCAGUUGACCUCCACAACUCCGAUAUCCUUGACAUAAUAUCCACUCUUCUUGGCUCGGUGCCUGAAUCCAUGGACCAAAGCCUUCUGCCGAUAUGUCGACCGAUCCUUCGACGCGACAUCCAAUCUUCUGACAUGUUUUCCUCCGACCCAACAUGAUUCUUCCUGCUUUAAUUGUCUCUCUCUAAUCGAAGCAUCCUACAUCACUCAAAACAUAGAUCAAAUCAUAAACACUUAUUAAUUGGUUUUAUCAUCAAAAUCCAAGAUUCAACACUAGUCUCAUUCUAGGGAUACACUCUAGAGUUCGUAGAAUAGAGUUCUAACUAAGUCGGUAGUAUUUACACCAUAUGAGAUAUGAAAAUAGAAGAAGUCUGAUUUUAAUGUUGUUAAAAUUUGGGACUUUCCUACCCACGUUAAGAGAUAUAACCUUGACAAGUUAGAAUAUAGGACGGAGUAGUGCAAAUUCAUGGGAUAUUCUAAAAAAACUCGUGGGUAUUAUUUCUAUCACCCCGAGGACCAAAAGGUCUUUAUAGCUAAAAUGAUAGUGUUCCUUAAGAAUGAAUAUAUUCUUGGUGAAGACAAUGGAAGCAUGAUAGAGUUGAGUGAGGUUAGAGAACCUAGCUCAAGCAUCAUUCCACAGCCCGAGUUUGUUCAGGUACUUAGCACAUAAGUUCCGACUUUAUGUAGGUCCGGUAGAGUAACCUAUCCUUCUGAGAGAUAUAUGGGACAUAUCAAUAUAUAGGAUGUUAAAGAUAUUAAUUAUUAGACCUACAAUGAGGCUAUUACAAGUGUAGACUCUAGAAAGUAAUAAGAAACCAUGAAUUCUAAAAUGGAUUCCAUGUACUCAAAAAAGGUUUAGAAUAUAGUUGAUGCACUCGAGGGUAUCGUACACAUUAGUUGCAAGUGGAUCUUCAAAAUGAAGAUCGAAAUAGACGAAAAUGUAAAGACCUAUAAAGUGAGGCUAGUGGCUAAGGGGUAUCAUCAAAGGCAAGGUAUUUACUAUGAUGAAUCUUUCUCACCCAUAGCUAUGCUAAAAUCCAUCUGAAUUCUAUUGAAUAUUGCAAUACACUAUGAUUAUGAGAUUUGGCAGAUGGAUGUGAAAACCACAUUCCUCAAUAGCAACCUCGAGGAGAAGGUAUAUAUGAUACAACUUAAGAAUUCGUGUCCAAAGAAAGUUCAGAUAAGGUGUGUAAAUUUCUUAGGUUCAUCUAUGAACUAAAGUAAGCUUCCUAAAGUUAGAACAUAAGAUUUGACAAGACAAUCAUAUCUUAUGACUCCAUUAAGAACGAACAUGAGCCUUGUGAGUACAAGAAGAUAAGUGGGAGCGCUAUCACCUUUUUGGUGCUAUAUGUGGAUGACAUCUUAAUCAUUGGGAAUGAUGUAGGAAUGCUCUCCAUAGUAAAGGCUUAGCUAUCUGGACAUUUCUCCAUGAAGGACUUAGGAGAAAUAUUAUAUAUCUUAGUGAUAUCGAGGAGGGUAAAAAAUGCAGAAUAUAUUUCGAAAGAACACCAAUAGAAUAGUUAUUUAGAUAGAAAAUGUCACAGAAGGCAAGGAACGAACUCUUAAAGAAACUUCGGUAAAACGAAAAAUAGCUCACCACCAAGUUUAAAAUCAAAAGGGAUAUAGAAAGAUCACCACCCUAAUGACAAUAAACAAGGAUACAGAACUAAAAGCAAAAGACUCACCACUCAAGGACACAUCCAAAAGAUACAGAGUUCAAAAGAGCACUCCAAGAGAGCUUCUGCCAAUAUCCUCAGUUUUCUAAAGUC
rnacentral:lncRNA from 1 species